rnacentral:rRNA from 1 species
AAUAGAUACCCCGGUAGUCCACGCCGUAAACGAUGAGUGCUAAGUGUUAGAGGGUUUCCGCCCUUUAGUGCUGCAGCAAACGCAUUAAGCACUCCGCCUGGGGGAGUACGGUCGCAAGACUGAAACUCAAAGGAAUUGACGGGGGGCCCGCACAAGCGGUGGAGCAUGUGGUUUAAUUCGAAGCAACGCGAAGAACCUUACCAGGUCUUGACAUCCUUCGCUACUUCUAGAGAUAGAAGGUUCCCCCUUCGGGGGGACGGAGUGACAGGUGGUGCAUGGUUGUCGUCAGCUCGUGUCGUGAGAUGUUGGGUUAAGUCCCGCAACGAGCGCAACCCUUGACCUUAGUUGCCAGCAUUCAGUUGGGCACUCUAAGGUGACUGCCGGUGACAAACCGGAGGAAGGUGGGGAUGACGUCAAAUCAUCAUGCCCCUUAUGACCUGGGCUACACACGUGCUACAAUGGAUGGUACAAAGGGCUGCAAGACUGCGAAGUCAAGCCAAUCCCAUAAAAACCAUUCUCAGUUCGGAUUGCAGGCUG